rnacentral:lncRNA from 1 species
UGCUCCCCGGAUGUGACCGGCCCAGCAGAUCCUUUCCUCCCAUCUCAUAAACACCUCCUUUAAUGCCUUCCCCCUCACUCUGAGUGUGCUGGGUCCUGCCGGGACCCAGAAUGAGCCCCUGUAAAAGAUGCUUGGCUCUCGGCUUGGCACACACAAACCGCUCAAAGAAGUCGACGCUGUUACAGGCACUCGAGGUCACUGUCACCUGCCUCUUCCUGCGGGCCCCACAAGUCCCAGCAGUGGCCGUGGAGCCAGACCCAGAGUCAUCUCCAAAUCCAGGAAAUGGAGGCCCGAAGAGAUUCCGCUAGACUGGACACCAGGAGGCUCAAGGACGGGGUCCCUGUGUGCUGCU